ACCUGGACUUCACAGCAAAGUCUGUGACUGUCUACCAUGGCAUUCUCCUGGAGCUGCUGCAGCUCAUGUCUUGGACAGACAGAAAAUAGCUCUAUUCUUUCCUGCCCUGCACCUCUGCCAGAAGUUCAGAGCAUGCUGCUCAGAGUCUUUAUUCUCGACAGAAAUGUGCCUCAAGAAGAUUGACUGAAAUUAUACUGAGCUACAAACUCCUACUCUGACCUGCUCCCAUGCAGAAAAACCAGUGGAGAUUUCAGAUAGUCCCAGUCUGCUCAGAACUGAUGAACUCAGGUUCUCAAAUGAGGUGAACUCCACACAGUAUUUCUAAGAUUAAUCUUACUUUCUUUAGAGCUUCUAAUUCAAAUGUUCAAAGUGCAGAUGGCCAGGUGGUAGCUGGUCAUGGUAAAGACACUUUGCUAAUAUAUCUGGGUAUCAUUUAUAUAUCUAUAUGGUCAGCUUAACCAGCCUCUACAUUUCCCUAAAGUAACUAAUAAAUAUUCUGUGCACUAAUUAA